rnacentral:rRNA from 1 species
AGAACGAACGCUGGCGGCAUGCCUAACACAUGCAAGUCGAACGAGACCUUCGGGUCUAGUGGCGCACGGGUGCGUAACGCGUGGGAAUCUGCCCUCUGCUACGGAAUAACUCGGGGAAACUCGUGCUAAUACCGUAUGAUGUCGCAAGACCAAAGAUUUAUCGGCAGGGGAUGAGCCCGCGUAGGAUUAGCUUGUUGGUGAGGUAAAGGCUCACCAAGGCGACGAUCCUUAGCUGGUCUGAGAGGAUGAUCAGCCACACUGGGACUGAGACACGGCCCAGACUCCUACGGGAGGCAGCAGUGGGGAAUAUUGGACAAUGGGCGAAAGCCUGAUCCAGCAAUGCCGCGUGAGUGAUGAAGGCCUUAGGGUUGUAAAGCUCUUUUACCCGGGAAGAUAAUGACUGUACCGGGAGAUAAGCCCGGCUAACUCCGUGCCAGCAGCCGC